CACUGAGGUGCGAAAGCGUGGGGAGCAAACGGGAUUAGAUACCCCGGUAGUCCACGCCGUAAACGAUGUCUACUAGCCGUUGGAGGACUUGAUCCUUUAGUGGCGCAGCUAACGCGAUAAGUAGACCGCCUGGGGAGUACGGUCGCAAGAUUAAAACUCAAAUGAAUUGACGGGGGCCCGCACAAGCGGUGGAGCAUGUGGUUUAAUUCGAAGCAACGCGAAGAACCUUACCUACUCUUGACAUCCAGUGAACUUUUGAGAGAUCAAUUGGUGCCUUCGGGAACACUGAGACAGGUGCUGCAUGGCUGUCGUCAGCUCGUGUUGUGAAAUGUUGGGUUAAGUCCCGUAACGAGCGCAACCCUUGUCCUUAGUUACCAUCAUUAAGUUGGGGACUCUAAGGAGACUGCCGGUGACAAACCGGAGGAAGGCGGGGACGACGUCAAGUCAUCAUGGCCCUUACGAGUAGGGCUACUCACGUGCUACAAUGGCAUGUACAAAGGGUUGCCAAGCCGCGAGGUGGAGCUAAUCCCAUAAAGCAUGUCGUAGUCCGGAUUGGAGUCUGCAACUCGACUCCAUGAAGUCGGAAUCGCUAGUAAUCGUGAAUCAGAAUGUCACGGUGAAUACGUUCCCGGGCCUUGUACACACCGCCCGUCACACCAUGGGAGUGGGUUGCUCCAGAAGUAGAUAGCUUAACCUUCGGGAGGGCGUUUACCACGGAGUGAUUCAUGACUGGGGUGAAGUCGUAACAAGGUAGCCGUA
rnacentral:rRNA from 1 species